rnacentral:rRNA from 1 species
GAUGAACGCUGGCGGCGUGCCUAAUACAUGCAAGUCGAGCGAACGGACGAGAAGCUUGCUUCUCUGAUGUUAGCGGCGGACGGGUGAGUAACACGUGGAUAACCUCCCUAUAAGACUGGGAUAACUUCGGAAAACGGGAGCUAAUACGGGAAAAUUUUUUAACCCGCUGGGUUAAAAAGAAAAAGCGGUUUUUGUGUCCAUUUAAAGAUGAUCCCGCGCGCCUUAGCAGAGUUGUAAGGAAAGGGGUUCCCAAGGCACCAGGCCAAAACCCACCUGGGGGGGGGGUCGGCCCCCCUGGACCUGGGACCCGGGCCCAGCCCUACGGGGGGGCGCGGGAGGGAAUCUUCCGCAAAGGGGGGAAGCCCGACGGAGCAACCCCGCGUGGGUGAUGAAGGUCUUCGGAUCGUAAAACUCUGUUAUUAGGGAAGAACAUAUGUGUAAGUAACUGUGCACAUCUUGACGGUACCUAAUCAGAAAGCCACGGCUAACUACGUG